rnacentral:rRNA from 1 species
GACGAACGCUGGCGGCGUGCUUAACACAUGCAAGUCGAACGGUGAUGCUCCAGCUUGCUGGAGUGGAUCAGUGGCGAACGGGUGAGUAACACGUGAGCAACCUGCCAGACUCUGGAAUAAGCGCUGGAAACGGCGUCUAAUACUGGAUACGAAACUGGCCCGCAUGGGCAUGGUUUGGAAAGUUUUUCGGUUUGGGAUGGGCUCGCGGCCUAUCAGCUUGUUGGUGAGGUAAUGGCUCACCAAGGCGACGACGGGUAGCCGGCCUGAGAGGGCGACCGGCCACACUGGGACUGAGACACGGCCCAGACUCCUACGGGAGGCAGCAGUGGGGAAUAUUGCACAAUGGGCGAAAGCCUGAUGCAGCGACGCCGCGUGAGGGAUGACGGCCUUCGGGUUGUAAACCUCUUUCAGCAGGGAAGAAGCGAAAGUGACGGUACCUGCAGAAGAAGCACCGGCUAACUACGUG